CUCUGUGGGAACGUGGAGUUGUGCCAGGGUCAUGACUCCCUGGGUCAUGCCAGGCCACGCAGAGGCCUAUUGCGCAGGCCUGAGGGCCUCCGAAAUGGCCGCUGUGCUGGGGGCAGGGAGGCCGAACGGGCCUGUUUUUGACAGGAGGGAGGUCAGUGGGGGGAGGGGGAACCUCCAUGGACAACCACCACCACCACCACUUUGGAGAACACCCUUGGAGGGGGAGGAAACAAUCCUACUCACGACCAUUAACCUUCUUGGCACCAGGGUGCCUGGAAGACUAAGGAAAAAGAGGUGCCUAGACCAUGCAAUUGAUUGGCAUUCUAGUGCCAUCGUGUCUACUGAAGUACCUGCCUGCACCAGGCAAAGAAACUGGUUAUCAUGGAAUUAGAAAAGAUCAAGGAAACAACUGGAAGUACAGCAAAUGAUGGAUGCAUCAGAGGGAACAGCACAGUUUGUUGGUUUCAGUCCAUUUGUCUCUGUGGAGCCCAUCAGGAACCAUUAAUCUUUGCUCUUGGAAUGACAACUUCCAUCAUAGCAAACUAUUUUGUCUGUGGAGAAAUCUCUGUACUUCACUCAGAUUCUGAGCUUUGAUUAAAGUUCUCCACCAUGA